rnacentral:rRNA from 1 species
GAGACCUUCGGGUCUAGUGGCGCACGGGUGCGUAACGCGUGGGAAUCUGCCUUUCGGUUCGGAAUAACUCGGGGAAACUCGUGCUAAUACCGGAUAAUGACUACGGUCCAAAGAUUUAUCGCCGAAAGAUGAGCCCGCGUAGGAUUAGCUAGUUGGUGAGGUAAAGGCUCACCAAGGCGACGAUCCUUAGCUGGUCUGAGAGGAUGAUCAGCCACACUGGGACUGAGACACGGCCCAGACUCCUACGGGAGGCAGCAGUGGGGAAUAUUGGACAAUGGGCGAAAGCCUGAUCCAGCAAUGCCGCGUGAGUGAUGAAGGCCUUAGGGUUGUAAAGCUCUUUUACCCGGGAUGAUAAUGACAGUACCGGGAGAAUAAGCCCCGGCUAACUCCGUGCCAGCAGCCGCGGUAAUACGGAGGGGGCUAGCGUUGUUCGGAAUUACUGGGCGUAAAGCGCACGUAGGCGGCUUUGUAAGUUAGAGGUGAAAGCCCGGGGCUCAACUCCGGAAUUGCCUUUAAGACUGCAUCGCUUGAAUCCGGGAGAGGUGAGUGGAAUUCCGAGUGUAGAGGUGAAAUUCGUAGAUAUUCGGAAGAACACCAGUGGCCGAAGGCGGCUCACUGGACCGGUAUGACGCUG